UGAGGAAUAUUGGUCAAUGGACGCAAGUCUGAACCAGCCAUGCCGCGUGCAGGAUGACGGCUCUAUGAGUUGUAAACUGCUUUUGUAUAAGGGUAAACCCCGGGACGUGUCCCGGGCUGAAAGUACUAUACGAAUAAGGAUCGGCUAACUCCGUGCCAGCAGCCGCGGUAAUACGGAGGAUCCAAGCGUUAUCCGGAUUUAUUGGGUUUAAAGGGUGCGUAGGCGGUUUUAUAAGUUAGAGGUGAAAUCUCGGGGCUCAACUCCGAAACUGCCUCUAAUACUGUAGGACUAGAGAGUAGUUGCGGUAGGCGGAAUGUAUGGUGUAGCGGUGAAAUGCUUAGAGAUCAUACAGAACACCGAUUGCGAAGGCAGCUUACCAAACUAUAUCUGACGUUGAGGCACGAAAGCGUGGGGAGCAAACAGG
rnacentral:rRNA from 2 species